rnacentral:rRNA from 1 species
GUGCUUAACACAUGCAAGUCGAACGGAAAGGCCUUCGGGGUACUCGAGUGGCGAACGGGUGAGUAACACGUGGGUGAUCUGCCCUGCACUUUGGGAUAAGCCUGGGAAACUGGGUCUAAUACCGAAUAGGAUCAUGGCCUUCAUGGGUUGUGGUGGAAAGCUUUUGCGGUGUGGGAUGGGCCCGCGGCCUAUCAGCUUGUUGGUGGGGUAAUGGCCUACCAAGGCGACGACGGGUAGCCGGCCUGAGAGGGUGACCGGCCACACUGGGACUGAGAUACGGCCCAGACUCCUACGGGAGGCAGCAGUGGGGAAUAUUGCACAAUGGGCGCAAGCCUGAUGCAGCGACGCCGCGUGAGGGAUGACGGCCUUCGGGUUGUAAACCUCUUUCAGCAGGGACGAAGCGCAAGUGACGGUACCUGUAGAAGAAGGACCGGCCAACUACGUGCCAGCAGCCGCGGUAAUACGUAGGGUCCGAGCGUUGUCCGGAAUUACUGGGCGUAAAGAGCUCGUAGGUGGUUUGUCGCGUUGUUCGUGAAAUC